GAUGAACGCUGGCGGCGUGCCUAAUACAUGCAAGUCGAGCGAACGGACGAGAAGCUUGCUUCUCUGAUGUUAGCGGCGGACGGGUGAGUAACACGUGGAUAACCUACCUAUAAGACUGGGAUAACUUCGGGAAACCGGAGCUAAUACCGGAUGAUAUUUUGAACCGCAUGGUUCAAAAGUGAAAGACGGUCUUGCUGUCACUUAUAGAUGGAUCCGCGCUGCAUUAGCUAGUUGGUAAGGUAACGGCUUACCAAGGCAACGAUGGAUAGCCGACCUGAGAGGGUGGUCGGCCACACUGGAACUGAGACACGGUACCGACUCCUACGGGAGGAAGCAGUAGGGAAUCUUCCGCAAUGGGCGAAAGCCUAACGGAGCAACGCCGCGUGAGUGAUGAAGGUCUUCUGAUCGUAAAGCUCUGUUAUUAGGGAAGAACAUAUGUGUAAGUAACUGUGCACAUCUUGACGGUACCUAAUCAGAAAGCCACGGCUAACUACGUG
rnacentral:rRNA from 1 species